rnacentral:tRNA from 1 species
GGUGAAAUGGCCGAGCAGUAGGCGGUAAGCUGUAAACUUACUUACGAAUUGAAUUCUUUUACC